rnacentral:tRNA from 2 species
GGAGUAGCUCAGUUGGUAGAGCACCGGUCUCCAAAACCGGGUGUCGGGAGUUCGAGCCUCUCCUUC